AGGAUGGGUCUGCGGCCGAUUAGGUUGUUGGUGGGGUAAUGGCCCAACAAGCCUGUAAUCGGUACGGGCUGUGAGAGAAGUAGCCCGGAGAUGGUAUCUGAGACACGAUACCAGGCCCUACGGGGCGCAGCAGGCGCGAAAACUUCGCAAUGUGGGAAAGCACGACGAGGGAAUUCCAAGUGCUAGCACUUUGUAUUAGCUGUUUUUCUGUCUAAAAAACAGAGAGAGUAAGGGCUGGGUAAGACGGGUGCCAGCCGCCGCGGUAAUACCAGCAGCCCAAGUGGUGGCCACUAUUAUUGGGCCUAAAACGUCCGUAGCCGGUUUAGUAAAUCCUUGGGUAAAUCGUGAAGCUCAACUGUACGAAUUCCGGGGAGACUGCUAGACUUGGGACCGGGAGAGGUCAGAGGUACUUCUGGGGUAGGGGUGAAAUCCUGUAAUCCUAGAGGGACCACCAGUGGCGAAGGCGUCUGACCAGAACGGGUCCGACGGCGAGGGACGAAGCCCAGGGGCGCAAACGGGAUUAGAUACCCCGGUAGUCCAAGGUGUAAACGCUGCGGGCUUGGUGUUGGGGGUCCUAUGUGGGCGACCAGUGCCGGAGAGAAGUUGUUAAGCCCGUUGCCUGGGGAGUACGGUCGCAAGACUGAAACUUAA
rnacentral:rRNA from 1 species